rnacentral:rRNA from 1 species
UACGGAGGGUGCAAGCGUUGUCCGGAUUUAUUGGGUUUAAAGGGUGCGUAGGCGGUCUUUUAAGUCAGCGGUGAAAUCCUCCAGCUUAACUGGAGAACUGCCAUUGAUACUGGAAGACUUGAGUACAGACGAGGUAGGCGGAAUUGACAGUGUAGCGGUGAAAUGCAUAGAUAUUGUCAAGAACACCGAUUGCGAAGGCAGCUUACUAGACUGUAACUGACGCUGAGGCGCGAAAGCUAGGGGAGCAAACGGG